rnacentral:rRNA from 1 species
AUUGAACGCUGGCGGCAUGCCUUACACAUGCAAGUCGAACGGUAACGCGGGGCAACCUGGCGACGAGUGGCGAACGGGUGAGUAAUGCAUUGGAACGUGCCCAGUAGUGGGGGGAUAGCCCGGCGAAAGCCGGAUUAAUACCGCAUACGACCUACGGGUGAAAGCGGGGGACUCGCAAGAGCCUCGCGCUAUUGGAGCGGCCGAUGUCAGAUUAGCUAGUUGGUGAGGUAAAGGCUUACCAAGGCGACGAUCUGUAGCGGGUCUGAGAGGAUGAUCCGCCACACUGGAACUGAGACACGGUCCAGACUCCUACGGGAGGCAGCAGUGGGGAAUUUUGGACAAUGGGCGCAAGCCUGAUCCAGCCAUGCCGCGUGAGUGAAGAAGGCCUUCGGGUUGU